rnacentral:rRNA from 1 species
GUCUAAAGCCAUACCACCUUGAACCUGCCUGAUCUCAUUUGAUCUUCUAAGCUAAGCAGGGUGGAGCCUGGUUAGUACUUGAAUGGUGGAACAGCUGGAAAGAAGGGAUUCUGUAGAAG